rnacentral:rRNA from 1 species
ACAGCAGUAGCCGCGGGAAUACGUAGGUGGCAAGCGUUGUCCGGAAUUAUUGGGCGUAAAGGGCUCGCAGGCGGUUUCUUAAGUCUGAUGUGAAAGCCCCCGGCUCAACCGGGGAGGGUCAUUGGAAACUGGGAAACUUGAGUGCAGAAGAGGAGAGUGGAAUUCCACGUGUAGCGGUGAAAUGCGUAGAGAUGUGGAGGAACACCAGUGGCGAAGGCGACCCUCUGGUCUGUAACUGACGCUGAGGAGCGAAAGCGUGGGGAGCGAACAGGAUUAGAUACCCCUGUAGUCCCUGUCUCUUAUAC